rnacentral:snoRNA from 1 species
CGUACCUAGUUGCUUUUAUGUUUUAAUCAUAUAAUGUAAAGGUUUUGAAUUGGCAGGAUCAUUAGGAUUUGCACGAGGAGAAGAGACAAUUCACAGGGCUAGCAUCAUUGCCUUCUGUCUUCACAGAGGUAUGUUCUGCAGUUUUGUGGGACAUUC